GCACCCGUAGCUCAGUUGGAUAGAGCGCUGCCCUCCGAAGGCAGAGGCCACAGGUUCGAAUCCUGUCGGGUGCACCA
rnacentral:tRNA from 1 species